rnacentral:rRNA from 1 species
CAUAAAGUGCGUCGUAGUCCGGAUUGGAGUCUGCAACUCGACUCCAUGAAGUCGGAAUCGCUAGUAAUCGUGGAUCAGAAUGCCACGGUGAAUACGUUCCCGGGCCUUGUACACACCGCCCGUCACACCAGGGGAGUGGGUUGCAAAAGAAGUAGGUAGCUUAACCUUCGGGAGGGCGCUUACCACUUUGUGAUUCAUGACUGGGGUGAAGUCGUAACAAGGUAACCGUAGGGGAACCUGCGGUUGGAUCACCUCCUUA